AAUUGAAAAAGGCAAACCCAUUGAAAAGUGGGGACGCAAAGCCAUGAGUCUAAAGCAAUUUUAACUGCUAUGACAGUCAGGUUGCCAAU
rnacentral:ncRNA from 1 species